rnacentral:lncRNA from 1 species
UUUUUUUUUUUUUGGUAUGCCUGAGAUACGUGGAAGUCCUGGACCAGGGAUCUAACCUGCACUACAGCAGUGACCAUGCCAGAUCCUUAACUUGCUAAGCCACCAGGUUACUCCCUGAAUUGUACACUUUAAAAUGGUCAGAUGAUGAAUUUAAUGUUAUGUGAAUUUCACCCCCACUUAAAAAAAAAAUGAGGUAGGGAAAACAAUAUUUUCCAUAAAAGAAAUCAUUGACAUCAUUUAACAUUGAGGCACCCACAGUGGGCGAUCUUCAGUGAAUGAAAGUGUGGUUAUGUUUAGUUUAAAACAGUGCUAACAAUUUAAAUUAUUUGCACCAGAAGCAAAUCUAUCGUAGCUCUUGGUUCAGGUUACAUUGGGAUGACAUUAGUUAAUGAUACUUUAAUUUUCGGAUAAACAGUUUCAUAACUGAAGUAAAAAAAAAUCCAAACUUUUGAAGGGAAUGACCUCUUGGUUGGAAUUGGAUCUGCUGGGUGCUCCCAUUUCCAAUAGGCCCAGAAGUGACUUCAUUGGAAGCAUCUGUACUGUUAGCCAGGUAAUCCAUAUGCAAAUGAGGGAUUCAGAUGCCCUGCAGCGGCCGUGAUAAAAUGAUUAAACAGUCAGUUGCAAUGCUCUUUUCCUUCCGGAAUCGAGGUAGCCAACAAUCUUGCUAGAUAAAUAAUGAAGGUGUGACUAAAAAUGUAGAAACACAUUUCCAAACAGCUUUUCUCCUCGGAUGUGGUCACCUGAGGAUGGAACGGGCCCUUUCUAGCAAUACUGCCAAUUCCUGAAAUCUAUUCAUAAUUUUCUGUUGGAACAGAGCGAAAAUUUUUCUGUUGGAAAGAAGAUUUCCUAUCUUAUAGUCACUUUUUUUGUUUGUUUGUUUGUUUGUUUUUCCAAAAAAAGGUUUUGUUUUCAAGUGGCAUUACUUAGCUCGUUUACCAAACUUCGUACCAAAAAAACGUUGGGCUGCUUACCCAAAUCAGUGUUAUCCGCAAAGGACAAAAAUUUGUCACCCUCAGAUGUAUUCAAAAGAAUGUGCCAGAGGCUCUAGGAACAAUUCCAAGAGAGGAGUAUAAAACAUUUUUUGGAAUGAUGGGAAGAUAUAAUUUAAAUAAGUGCUUCGCCUUCCAAAAUGACUACUCCCUCCUAGGACAGGACGACACCCGUUUAGAUAUGUUUAUUUAAAAAUCAGUCACCAUUACUUGAUGGUUGAAUGGUGUGUUAAUUUUUCUAAUAAGGAGGAUGACACAUCUGGGGUUGCGUGGCUCUGUUCUGUCUCCUCCUCAUCAUUACGUAGGUGGAUUCUAAUUCUUUCUUAUAAAUAAAAUAGCCAUCAACUUGCCAUUACCUUCCUUUAUUAGUUGUGUGUGUGUGUGUGUGUGUGUGUGUGUGUGUGUGUGUGUGUGAGUGUGUGAUGUUUUAACUGCCCCAAAGCACUUUGACCUAUUUUAUCUCACUUUCCGCUUACAAUAGCCUGACCAGGAACACCCAGUAUUCACCUCGCUCCCAUAGCAGGAGGAAGCCGAAGGAAAGAAAACCUUUUGUACUCAAAACCUCAUCCAGCCCGGCCAGUUGCAGAGCCAAAAGAGAAAUCCCCCUGCCCCCACUUUUGAGUCUGAAUCCAGUGCUCCUUCUGAUAUGCCAAAAUCCAGGCGGUGCUCCAACCACCACCCACCUCUCAUCCCCCCCACCCCCCACCCCCUGCCACCGCUGCCAAGUGCCCAGGUGCCUGAAGAUCAAAUUUAAGAAACAGGGAGCUAACUGUACUUAACCAUGGGGCUCCACAGAGCCCCGUAGUUAAGUUUGUUUGUUUAUUGGUUGGUUGGUUGGUUGGUCCGUUUUCCCAGCCCCUUUUGCGCUAACUGCCACCUUAAGGCUUACCAGCUCUUAGGCUGAUUCUGGUAAGAUCUGCUGUGAUGGAGCUCAGCCUCUGGUUUGUAAAAUGUUCCAGGUGGUUGAUGUAGAAAUAAAAAAAGAGGAGCCACACUUCUGGCAAUAUUUACGGGCUGGCCUAAGCCCCAGAUGUUCCCAACACGUGAGUUCAAUAGGGAAAGGCAACUUUUUUGGUAAAUGAACGGUGAUGGUGCCCUUCCCAGAACAAGCCUCUCAUGUGGAAAGCUUUGUCGGAAACUCGGCAUGUGGAGCUGCGUUGUUGGUGGGUUUUGUUGCUGUCAUUAUUAAUGGGAAACAUGGCCUUAAUUACUGAUUGUAUUUUUCUCAGCCUCCAAGAAGGAUCGGAGAGCUGCGGUUGACCAGCUGUGACCUCACUCAGCUUCUCCGAAGCUUCUCCGCUUGGAGAAACUUACACCUUGCUUACUGCAUCGGCCGGAUUUAUGGGCAGUCUAUUUAUAUAACACUAAACACAAGGCUUUGCUUGUAAAUCUGAGAUGCUUUCUGGGAAUCUCAAAACAUCCCGCUCAGUCUCUUCCCUUGAUUUCCCCUUAAAGCUUUUCGAGAUGAGGGAUACUUUUUAUAUUUUAUUGCCUGUCGAUGGGCUGCCCCUUGCUUGUAACAGGUCAAGGUCCUGUAACAUUCAUUCCGUUUCUCCAAAGAGGUUUCAGUGUGCGAAGUCUCAGUUGAUUCCUGUGUCUUAAAAUCCUCUGCUCCCAAUCCAGCUGCAGCAGUUCACUUUUCCUUAGAACCUGGACUAGCAGGCCUGGGCCUGCUGCUUCCAGGAACCAUGCUUGUGGCUAGCUGGCUAGCCAGGUAGUAUCACGUGUCAUGGCCUCUAGACCUAGCCUUUGCCCAAGGAUAAAUGCCAAGAUGAGUUGACCAGUGAAGCAGUAAGAGCUCACACGGGGACACAGAGAAGUGGUCCACGUGGCCUUUGUUAGACUGUGGCAGCUUGGCUUCCCCAGAGCCAAGAAGGUCCUUGGUGCAUCUGUCUCCAAACUCCUGUGUCCGCUGUUAAGGAAAAGAAGGGCUUGCGCAUGGCAGGAUUCAGGGACUGGUAGCAACGGCCGGGUCAGAAUCACAGAGUCAGAGUUCUAGAAGAUGAGUACUGUGGAGGUCUGGCUCCUGCCUUCAUUGCUAACUAGCUCCCUUCCCACAGUGGGAGGGUUACACCAGGCCCACAAAGGAGAAGAAGAGGAAAGAAGAGCAAGGGGAAGCGGCUCCUUGCAUGGUAAGCAAUUUUGCAGUGUGAUCGUUUUCCCUUUUUUGAGCUAAUACAGAGACUGGUAAUAGGAAAAAUUCCCUUAAGCAAUGAGUUGAGGUAAUCUGCUUUUCUGGUUAAACCAUAAGAAGCACAUCAAAUUUGCCAGUUGUUUUCUUUCCCAGAGAGAGCAUGAAGUUUGGGUGUGGGAACUUGGGGAGAACACAGUUAACAGAUCAGAGCCUUACCCUUUUAUAUCUGUAAAGUGGGAGUAUUUAGACAUAAAGUUGUGGCCUGAGGAUUAAAUUAUAGAACAAGUGGGGAGUUCCUGUAGUGGCUCAGCAGAAACAAAUCUGACUAGUAUCCAUGAGGAUGCAAGUCAGGUUCGAUCUCUGGUCUUGCUCAGUGGGUUAAGGAUCCAGCAUUGCUGUGAGCUAUGGUGUAGGUCCCAGACAUGGCUCCGAUCUGGCAUGGCUGUGGCUGUGGUGCAGGCCAGCCACUACAACUCCAGUUUGACCCCUGGCCUGGAAACCUCCAUAUGCUGUGAGUGUGGCCCU